ACGUAGGGGGCAAGCGUUAUCCGGAAUUACUGGGUGUAAAGGGUGCGUAGGCGGCCCGGCAAGUUUGAUGUGAAACCCAUAGGCUUAACCUGUGGCAUGCAUCAAAAACUACCGAGCUAGAGUGCAGGAGAGGAAAGCGGAAUUCCUAGUGUAGCGGUGAAAUGCGUAGAUAUUAGGAAGAACACCAGUGGCGAAGGCGGCUUUCUGGACUGCAACUGACGCUGAAGCACGAAAGCGUGGGGAGCAAACAG
rnacentral:rRNA from 1 species